UACGUAGGCAGCGAGCGUUGUUCGGAGUUACUGGGCGUAAAGGGUGCGUAGGCGGCGCGGUAAGUCGGGUGUGAAAUCUCGGAGCUUAACUCCGAAACUGCAUUCGAUACUGCCGUGCUUGAGGACUGGAGAGGAGACUGGAAUUUACGGUGUAGCGGUGAAAUGCGUAGAUAUCGUAAGGAAGACCAGUGGCGAAGGCGGGUCUCUGGACAGUUCCUGACGCUGAGGCACGAAGGCCAGGGGAGCAAACGGG
rnacentral:rRNA from 1 species